rnacentral:rRNA from 1 species
UACGUAGGUGGCAAGCGUUGUUCGGAAUUAUUGGGCGUAAAGGGCGCGUAGGCGGUCUUGUAAGUCAGCUGUGAAAGCCCGGGGCUCAACCCCGGAGGGUCGGCUGAUACUGCAGGACUGGAGUACGGAAGAGGUAGCUGGAAUUCCCGGUGUAGCGGUGAAAUGCGUAGAUAUCUGGAGGAACACCGGUGGCGAAGGCGGCAUCCUGGACCGGUAUUGACGCUGAGGCGCGAAAGCCAGGGGAGCAAACGGG